rnacentral:rRNA from 1 species
AGAGUUUGAUCCGGGUCAGGAUGAACGCUGGCGGCGUGCAUAACACAUUCUAGUCGUACGGGAAAUUCGGAGCUUGCUCCGGAUGGAUAGUGGCGGACGGGUGAGUAACGCGUGAGCUACCUGCCUGUGAUGUGUGGAAUAACACACAUAAAUUUGUGGUAAUACCGCAUAAAGUAUAAUAAUCGCAUGGUUAAGAUACCGGAGCUACGGUGCAUUGAGAUGGGCUCGCGUUGGAUUAGACAGUUGGUGUGGUAACGGCUCACCAAAUCAACGAUCCAUAGCCGGACUGAGAGGGUGAACGUCCACAUUGGAACUGAGAAACGGUCCACACUCCUACGGGAGGCAGCAGUGAGGAAUAUUGGGCAAUGGGCAAAAGCCUGACCCAGCGUCGCCGCGUGAGGGAAGAAGGUCUUCGGAUUGUGAACCUUAGUUAUCGGGGAAGAAGGAAGUGACGGUACCCGAAGAGAAAGCCACGGCUAAUUACGUGCCAGCAGCCGCGGUAAUACGUAGGUGGCAAGCGUUGUCCGGAUUUAUUGGGUGUAAAGGGUGUGUAGGCGGGACUGCAAUUCAGAUGUGAAUACUAUAGGUUUAACCUGUAGCCUGCUUUUGCAACUGCGGUUCUUGAUAGUCGGAGAGGUAAACGGAAUUCCUGGUGUAGCGGUGAAAUGCGUAGAUUUCAGGAGGAACACCGGUGGGGAAGGCGGUUUACUGGACGACAACUGACGUUGAGACACGAAAGCGUGGGGAGCAAACAGGAUUAGAUACCCUGGUAUUCCACCCUGUAAACGAUUAAAAAUGGGUGUAGGGGAGAAUAGUCUUUUGUUCCGCAGCUAACGCACUAAGCAUUCCUCCUGGGGAGUACGGCCGCAAGGUUGAAAGUCAAAUGAAUUGAGGGGAGCCCGCACAAGCAGUGGAGUAUGUGGUUUAAUUCGACUGCAACGCGAAGAGCCUUACCGAAACUUGACAUCUUGAGAAAGCAGAUGUAAUGUCAGCUGUGCCCUUCGGGGAGCUCAGAGACAGGUGGUGCAUGGUUGUCGUCAGGUGUUGUGGUGAGAUGUUGGGUUAAGUCCGGCAACGAGUGCUAUCCUUCCGGUUAGUUGUUAUGGAAAGAGCACUCUAUCCGGACUCCCGUUGACAAAUCGGAGGAAGGUGGGGACGACGUCAAAUCAUCAUGCCCUUUCCGUUUUGGGUGACACACGUAUUACAAGGGUGUAAACAAACGGAAGGGAACCCUCGAGGGGGAGCAAACCGGAAAAAAGACGUCCCAGUUCGGUCUGCAGGUUGCAAGUAGCGUGCCAGAAGUUGGAAUUGUUAGUAAUCGCAGAUCAGC